rnacentral:misc_RNA from 1 species
GAUGAAGAUCGCAGCGAAAUGCGAUACUUGGUGUGAAUUGCAGAAUCCCGUGAACCAUCGAGUCUUUGAACGCAAGUUGCGCCCGAAGCCAUCAGGUUGAGGGCACGUCUGCCUGGGCGUCACAUAUCGUUGCCCAAUGCCUAUUGCAGUGCAAUAGGAAUUUCUAGGGCGAAUGAUGGCUUCCCGUGAGCGUUGUUGCCUCGCGGUUGGUUGAAAAUCGAGUCCUUGGUAGGGUGUGCCAUGGUAGAUGGUGGUCGAGUUAGAACGAUACCGAUCAUGUGCAUGCUCCCCAAAAUAUGGCCUCUAUGACCCACACGCGUCUUUUGACGCUCAUGACGAGACCUCAGGUCAGGCGGGGCUACCCGCUGAAUUUAAGCAUAUCAAUAAGCGGAGGA